rnacentral:rRNA from 1 species
GCCUACGGGGGGCAGCAGUAGGGAAUCUUCCACAAUGGGCGAAAGCCUGAUGGAGCAACGCCGCGUGGGUGAAGAAGGUCUUCGGAUCGUAAAACCCUGUUGUUAGAGAAGAAAGUGCGUGAGAGUAACUGUUCACGUUUCGACGGUAUCUAACCAGAAAGCCUCGGCUAACUACGUGCCAGCAGCCGCGGUAAUACGUAGGUGGCAAGCGUUAUCCGGAUUUAUUGGGCGUAAAGGGAACGCAGGCGGUCUAUUAAGUCUGAUGUGAGAGCCUUCGGCUUAACCGGAGUAGUGCAUUGGAAACU